GCGGAGGAAAAGAAACCAACAGGGAUUGCCCUAGUAACGGCGAGUGAAGCGGCAACAGCUCAAAUUUGAAAUCUGGCGCAAGCCCGAGUUGUAAUUUGUAGAGGAUGCUUCUAGGUAGCGACCGGUCUAAGUUCCUUGGAACAGGACGUCAUAGAGGGUGAGAAUCCCGUAUGUGACCGGCCCGCACCUUCUACGUAGCUCCUUCGACGAGUCGAGUUGUUUGGGAAUGCAGCUCUAAAUGGGAGGUAAAUUUCUUCUAAAGCUAAAUACCGGCCAGAGACCGAUAGCGCACAAGUAGAGUGAUCGAAAGAUGAAAAGCACUUUGGAAAGAGAGUUAAAAAGCACGUGAAAUUGUUGAAAGGGAAGCGCUUACAACCAGACUUCUGGGCGGUGUUCCGCCGGUCUUCUGACCGGUCUACUCGCCGUCCCGAGGCCAACAUCAUCUGGGACCGCUGGAUAAGACCUCAGGAAUGUAGCUCCCCUCGGGGAGUGUUAUAGCCUGUGGUGAUGCAGCGCGUCUCGGGUGAGGUCCGCGCUUCGGCAAGGAUGUUGGCGUAAUGGUUGUCAGCGGCCCGUCUUGAAACACGGACCAAGGAGUCUAACAUCUAUGCGAGUGUUCGGGUGUCAAACCCCUACGCGUAAUGAAAGUGAACGGAGGUGGGAAGCGCAAGCUGCACCAUCGACCGAUCCUGAUGUCCUCGGAUGGAUUUGAGUAAGAGCAUAGCUGUUGGGACCCGAAAGAUGGUGAACUAUGCCUGAAUAGGGUGAAGCCAGAGGAAACUCUGGUGGAGGCUCGCAGCGGUUCUGACGUGCAAAUCGAUCGUCAAAUUUGGGUAUAGGGGCGAAAGACUAAUCGAACCAU
rnacentral:rRNA from 1 species